GACGAACGCUGGCGGCGUGCCUAAUACAUGCAAGUGGGACGCAAGGAAACACACUGUGCUUGCACACCGUGUUUUCUUGAGUCGCGAACGGGUGAGUAACGCGUAGGUAACCUGCCUAUUAGCGGGGGAUAACUAUUGGAAACAUAGCUAAUACCGCAUAAUAUUAAUUAUUGCAUGAUAAUUGAUUGAAAGAUGCAAGCGCAUCACUAGUAGAUGGACCUGCGUUGUAUUAGCUAGUUGGUAAGGUAAGAGCUUACCAAGGCGACGAUACAUAGCCGACCUGAGAGGGUGAUCGGCCACACUGGGACUGAGACACGGCCCAGACUCCUACGGGAGGCAGCAGUAGGGAAUCUUCGGCAAUGGACGAAAGUCUGACCGAGCAACGCCGCGUGAGUGAAGAAGGUUUUCGGAUCGUAAAGCUCUGUUGUAAGUCAAGAACGUGUGUGAGAGUGGAAAGUCACACAGUGACG
rnacentral:rRNA from 1 species